rnacentral:rRNA from 1 species
CCUACGGGUGGCAGCAGUGGGGAAUAUUGGGCAAUGGAGGAAACUCUGACCCAGCAACGCCGCGUGAAUGAUGACGGUCUUCGGAUUGGUAAGUUCUUUUCUUAGGGGAGAAGAAUGUGACGGUAGCUUAGGAAUAAGCCUCGGCUAACGACGUGCAAGCAGCCGCGGUAAUACGGCGGAGGCGAGAGUUAUCCGGAAUGAAGGGGCGUAAAGGGUGCGUAGGUGGUUUGGGAAGUUAGUAGCGUAACUACAGGGCUCAACCUUGGAACUACUACUAAAACUGGUGGACUUGAGUGCAGGAGGGGUAACCGGAAUUCCUGGUGUAGCGGUGGAAUGCGUAGAUAUUAGGAGGAACACCAGUGGCGAAGGCGGGUUGCUAGACUGUAACUGACACUGAGGCACGAAAGCGUGGGGAGCAAACAGGAUUAGAUACCCUAGUAGUC